AUCUGUGUCCCCUCGUGCCACUCGUUGAAUGACGUGAUGGUCACGAUCUCCGGCCGCACGGACAACGCCGCCUGCAGGCUAGUCUCGUAAUAGCGUCCGUUGACCCUGUUCCUCGUGUUGUGGUUGUUCCAUGGCCUCACUGCAGUGUCGACGUAUCCCGGCCCGGCGCUGGGUACAAACAGCAGGUUGUUACCGUCACAGAAGGCCUUGACCGCCUUCCAGUUCUGGUGAGAGGAGCCAAAGGAGAAGCCGUUGGAGGCGAAGUACGUAUACAUGCCGUCGAAGCCACCGGCCAGGAUUUCUUGUUUGUGGCGUUCCUCUACGACCAGGGCGAGGAAGACACCGUCGUAGGGCGUGCCGCGGAGGGUGUGGGUGCCGGCGGGGUGGAGCAGGUCGGCCCAGGCUUCAGGCGGGGUCAGGUAGGAGUCGUAGACAUAGAACAGAGGAAGGAUCCGCCCCGUGGUCAAUCUGAAGCGGUAGAAGGCGCCGUGGUUCCCGUACCUAUGAGGCAGAUGGAUAGCACAGUUGGUUGUGCAGAAGUUGGCAGAAACAUCUCUCCCUGGAAACAAGGUGUACUAGGCUUGUCCUCAAUCACGAUCAUCACUGUUCAGUAAGCUUGACAGCGAUACACCAACCCUACCGCCCAACUGCAGAGGGUGUCUCAAUGUUUGGACAAUGUUUAGGUGGAUCACUAUCAUGCCUCAUUAGAUAAACAAUCACAUAUUUGUUUUCUGCCCUUUACGUUUGUCCUCUACUAUAGUCGUUGUUAUGAAUAUGUUUGGCAUGACAAUGACCAUUGGAGUUGGCAAGACGGCACAAAGAGAUGUGGGACCUGCAGGCUACUGCUGGUCUGUUCCAUAGCCAAGCUCUUUUCAUACAUUUUUCCACAGGUACAAAUCUUUUAGUGGCACUAUCAAUUGUCUAAAGCCCGCAGAUGAAUACUCUAAUAAUGAAAGUGAAAGUAAUCCAAUCAGGACAAAGGCUACUUGCAGUUUCAUUCUCUCUACCUCCUUCAGACCUGAAAAGGAUUCAGAUUUCUCCAGAUCCCUAGACCUUUCCAUGUUAAUGUCACUGGACAUUAACAUGGAAAGCAGAGCUCUGACCUUUGGCUUAAAGUAAGUGAUAAGAAAAUCUUCAUCUGUAUGAGUGCGAUGUUGAGAGGAGAAAGAGAGGCAGAGAGAGCGAAAGGAAGAGAUGUGGGGAGAGCGAGAGAGAAGUGGGGAGAGCGAGAGAGAGAAUUGGGGAAAGUGAGAGUGGAGAUAGAAAGAGUGAAGUGGAGAAAGGAAAGGAGAUUAGAUGAGAAGUGGAGUGGAGUGGCUGGCUAGAGGACGCAGAUGUACAGAACAGUCGAAGGCUAAUCUACUUGUCAAUGAUCUAGAGAGCGAGAGAGAGGAGAUGUGGAUGUAUAGGACAGUUUCCACUGAUCAACCUACUUGUCAAUUAUGUAUUUGAUGUUAUCAUGCAUGCUGAGGUCGGUCCGACCCUUGUACGGCUGGAUGUGGAACGCCACCUGUGUGAACAGAGUAGGCAUAUGGAUCAUUAUAAACCCUUAAUAAAGAGGACAAUACUCUCUGCAA